rnacentral:rRNA from 1 species
UACGAAGGGGGCUAGCGUUGCUCGGAAUCACUGGGCGUAAAGCGCACGUAGGCGGAUCCUUAAGUCGGGGGUGAAAUCCUGGAGCUCAACUCCAGAACUGCCUUCGAUACUGGCGAUCUUGAGUCCGGGAGAGGUGAGUGGAACUCCGAGUGUAGAGGUGAAAUUCGUAGAUAUUCGGAAGAACACCAGUGGCGAAGGCGGCUCACUGGCCCGGUACUGACGCUGAGGUGCGAAAAGCGUGGGGAGCAAACAGGG